AACCUGAAACCGUGUACGUACAAGCAGUGGGAGCACAGAGCAAUCUGUGUGACUGCGUACCUUUUGUAUAAUGGGUCAGCGACUUAUAUUCUGUAGCAAGGUUAACCGAAUAGGGGAGCCGAAGGGAAACCGAGUCUUAACUGGGCGUUAAGUUGCAGGGUAUAGACCCGAAACCCGGUGAUCUAGCCAUGGGCAGGUUGAAGGUUGGGUAACACUAACUGGAGGACCGAACCGACUAAUGUUGAAAAAUUAGCGGAUGACUUGUGGCUGGGGGUGAAAGGCCAAUCAAACCGGGAGAUAGCUGGUUCUCCCCGAAAGCUAUUUAGGUAGCGCCUCGUGAAUUCAUCUCCGGGGGUAGAGCACUGUUUCGGCAAGGGGGUCAUCCCGACUUACCAACCCGAUGCAAACUGCGAAUACCGGAGAAUGUUAUCACGGGAGACACACGGCGGGUGCUAACGUCCGUCGUGAAGAGGGAAACAACCCAGACCGCCAGCUAAGGUCCCAAAGUCAUGGUUAAGUGGGAAACGAUGUGGGAAGGCCCAGACAGCCAGGAUGUUGGCUUAGAAGCAGCCAUCAUUUAAAGAAAGCGUAAUAGCUCACUGGUCGAGUCGGCCUGCGCGGAAGAUGUAACGGGGCUAAACCAUGCACCGAAGCUGCGGCAGCGACACUGUGUGUUGUUGGGUAGGGGAGCGUUCUGUAAGCCUGUGAAGGUGUACUGUGAGGUAUGCUGGAGGUAUCAGAAGUGCGAAUGCUGACAUAAGUAACGAUAAAGCGGGUGAAAAGCCCGCUCGCCGGAAGACCAAGGGUUCCUGUCCAACGUUAAUCGGGGCAGGGUGAGUCGACCCCUAAGGCGAGGCCGAAAGGCGUAGUCGAUGGGAAACAGGUUAAUAUUCCUGUACUUGGUGUUACUGCGAAGGGGGGACGGAGAAGGCUAUGUUGGCCGGGCGACGGUUGUCCCGGUUUAAGCGUGUAGGCUGGUUUUCCAGGCAAAUCCGGAAAAUCAAGGCUGAGGCGUGAUGACGAGGCACUACGGUGCUGAAGCAACAAAUGCCCUGCUUCCAGGAAAAGCCUCUAAGCAUCAGGUAACAUCAAAUCGUACCCCAAACCGACACAGGUGGUCAGGUAGAGAAUACCAAGGCGCUUGAGAGAACUCGGGUGAAGGAACUAGGCAAAAUGGUGCCGUAACUUCGGGAGAAGGCACGCUGAUAUGUAGGUGAAGUCCCUCGCGGAUGGAGCUGAAAUCAGUCGAAGAUACCAGCUGGCUGCAACUGUUUAUAAAAACACAGCACUGUGCAAACACGAAAGUGGACGUAUACGGUGUGACGCCUGCCCGGUGCCGGAAGGUUAAUUGAUGGGGUCAGCGCAAGCGAAGCUCUUGAUCGAAGCCCCGGUAAACGGCGGCCGUAACUAUAACGGUCCUAAGGUAGCGAAAUUCCUUGUCGGGUAAGUUCCGACCUGCACGAAUGGCGUAAUGAUGGCCAGGCUGUCUCCACCCGAGACUCAGUGAAAUUGAACUCGCUGUGAAGAUGCAGUGUACCCGCGGCAAGACGGAAAGACCCCGUGAACCUUUACUAUAGCUUGACACUGAACAUUGAGCCUUGAUGUGUAGGAUAGGUGGGAGGCUUUGAAGUGUGGACGCCAGUCUGCAUGGAGCCGACCUUGAAAUACCACCCUUUAAUGUUUGAUGUUCUAACGUGGACCCGUGAUCCGGGUUGCGGACAGUGUCUGGUGGGUAGUUUGACUGGGGCGGUCUCCUCCUAAAGAGUAACGGAGGAGCACGAAGGUUGGCUAAUCCUGGUCGGACAUCAGGAGGUUAGUGCAAUGGCAUAAGCCAGCUUGACUGCGAGCGUGACGGCGCGAGCAGGUGCGAAAGCAGGUCAUAGUGAUCCGGUGGUUCUGAAUGGAAGGGCCAUCGCUCAACGGAUAAAAGGUACUCCGGGGAUAACAGGCUGAUACCGCCCAAGAGUUCAUAUCGACGGCGGUGUUUGGCACCUCGAUGUCGGCUCAUCACAUCCUGGGGCUGAAGUAGGUCCCAAGGGUAUGGCUGUUCGCCAUUUAAAGUGGUACGCGAGCUGGGUUUAGAACGUCGUGAGACAGUUCGGUCCCUAUCUGCCGUGGGCGCUGGAGAACUGAGGGGGGCUGCUCCUAGUACGAGAGGACCGGAGUGGACGCAUCACUGGUGUUCGGGUUGUCAUGCCAAUGGCACUGCCCGGUAGCUAAAUGCGGAAGAGAUAAGUGCUGAAAGCAUCUAAGCACGAAACUUGCCCCGAGAUGAGUUCUCCCUGACCCUUUAAGGGUCCUGAAGGAACGUUGAAGACGACGACGUUGAUAGGCCGGGUGUGUAAGCGCAGCGAUGCGUUGAGCUAACCGGUACUAAUGAACCGUGAGGCUUAACCU
rnacentral:rRNA from 1 species